rnacentral:rRNA from 1 species
GGCUUAACACAUGCAAGUCGAGCGAGAAAGGGGCUUCGGCCCUGAGUACAGCGGCGGACGGGUGAAUAACACGUAGGUAACCUUCCUUUCAGCGGGGGACAACGGUCCGAAAGGACCGCUAAUACCGCAUACGUUCCCUAGGACCUCGGUCCUGGGGAGGAAAGGCCCGCAAGGGCCACUGGAUGAGGGGCCUGCGUAGCAUCAGCUAGUUGGUGGGGUAAUGGCCUACCAAGGCGAAGACGCUUAGCUGGUCUGAGAGGAUGAUCAGCCACACUGGGACUGAGACACGGCCCAGACUCCUACGGGAGGCAGCAGUGGGGAAUAUUGGACAAUGGGCGCAAGCCUGAUCCAGCCACGCCGCGUGAGUGAUGAAGGCCUGGUCGUAAGACUCUGUGGGGAGGGACGGAACGGCGCCGAUGAAGAGUGGCGAUUGACGGUACCGUCCUUACGC